rnacentral:rRNA from 1 species
GUAGGUGGCAAGCGUUGUCCGGAAUUAUUGGGCGUAAAGCGCGCGCAGGUGGGAUCUUAAGUCUGUUCUGAAAGUUCGGAGCUUAACUCCGUGAUGGGAUGGAAACUGGGAUUCUUGAGUAUCGGAGAGGAAAGCGGAAUUCCCCGUGUAGCGGUGAAAUGCGUAGAUAUGGGGAGGAACACCAGUGGCGAAGGCGGCUUUCUGGACGAUGUCUGACACUGAGGCGCGAAAGCUAGGGGGGCGAACGGGAUUAGAUACCCCGGUAGUCCUAGCCGUAAACGAUGGGUACUAGGUGUGGGGGGUGUCAACUCCUUCCGUGCCGGCGCUAACGCAAUAAGUACCCCGCCUGGGGAGUACGGCCGCAAGGUUG